rnacentral:rRNA from 1 species
AUUGAACGCUGGCGGCAGGCUUAACACAUGCAAGUCGAGCGAGCGGCGGACGGGUGAGUAAUGUCUGGGAAACUGCCUGAUGGAGGGGGAUAACUACUGGAAACGGUAGCUAAUACCGCAUACCAUCGGAUGUGCCCAGAUGGGAUUAGCUAGUAGGUGGGGUAAUGGCUCACCUAGGCGACGAUCCCUAGCUGGUCUGAGAGGAUGACCCGCCACACUGGUACUGGGAUACCGUUCAGACUCGUACGUGAGGCAGGGGUGGGAAUGAUUGCAGAAGGGGCGGUAGGCUGAUUUGUCCAAGCGGCGUGACUGAAGAGCGCCCUCGGGGCGUAAAGUACUUCACUUGGCGAGGCGGUACCUGACGAAGAAGCACCGGCUAACUCCGUGCCAGCCGCCGCGGUAAUAC